GUUAUUGGACGGUCGCCGGAGAAGAGUUCCAUGGCGGUGACCGUGGAGGGUAAAAAAAUCGCGGCCGAGGAGUAUGAGAGAGGUGAAAUGGGGUUAGUAAAAGCAAGUAAAAGAAGGCACAUUUGUGACGUUGAAGCCACCAUGGAUCAGCAUGGUGAGUGAUGAUGUGGCAUGAGCUGGCACCAUUCCAAUAUUCUAUUUUUAACAAAUAAUAAAUAAAUAUUGUGGGCCCCGGCCACUUGGGCUAGGUUAAUUCUUAUGUGGAGCCCCAAAGAGAGUACGCCCUUUGGGAUGAACAAGAACUAAAAUAAAAAUAAGCUUACAAAAGGAACUUG